AUGAGAGACACAGAAAGAGAGAGAGAGAGAGAGGCAGAGACACAGGCAGAGGGAGAAGCAGGCUCCAUGCAGGGAGCCCAAUGUGGGACUCGAUCCUGGGUCUCCAGGAUCACACCCUGAGCUGAAGGCCGAUGCUCAACCACUGAGCCACCCAGGCGUCCCUUUACCAUGAUUUCUUGACAGAAAUGAAAAUACAGCAGAGGGGGAGGGUUUUAAGGGAUUGUCCAAUUCACAGCCCUCCAUGCACCCAGAGGAGAAGAAAAAGCCCUGGCUGAGGAGUCAUGGUCAGCUGGCCAAUAAAUGCAGGUCUCUGGUCUGAGUUCCUACAUAGGCAGCACGGGAGCAGGACAGAUAAGAUAUGUGCUUUCCAAAUCGUGCAGGUCCCGGACCCUCCCAUGGGGAGCAUAAUCAAUUUGGUGGAUCAUGACCAGUGUUCGCUAGAGGCUGUAAUUGGGAAGGAACAUAUCUGAAAAUACCAAAGCGCAUCUCAAUGUAGUAUAGUGAAAGUAUUCUUUCGUGCAACUUUUCUUUUGAAUCUAUUUGUUAUUUGUAAGUCUCUGUGUACUGGCUUUCUCUGUGUACAGAAUGCAGUUCUUAAAUAGGGCACUGAGAAAGCCAUAAAGGGCUGUGCAAUGCUCUGAAUGCUUAAGCUCCCCAAUAUUCAUAAGUGGAAAUCCUAACCCCCAAUGCGAUGGUAUUAAGAGGUGGGGCCUUUGGAAAGAGAUGAGAUAUUGACAGCAGGACGCUUAUGAACAGGAUUUGUGCCCUUAGAAAAAAGGGAGCUCGGAGGGCCUCCUCAUCCUCCUUCCACCAUGUGGGGAUACCAUGAGAAGUCAGCAGUCUGGAGCCAGCAAAGGGCCUCCAUGAAAACCCGAGGGUGCUGGUGCCCUGACCCCAGACUGCAGCCUCCAGGACUGUUAGAAAUAUACUGCUGUUGCUUAGAAGCCAUCCAGUCCAUGGUACUUUGUUACAGCAGGCUGAAGGAAGGCCGACUGAUACUUCUCCUUUACUUACAGCUCAAAUGUGACUGAGUAUCUGAAAAAGCCAUGUACAAAGACUGGUUUGGAAGAGCAGGUCCUCAGAGGCCAUGCUGUUCACAAGGCCACCAGCCUUGAAAGCUGCAGGGGCCAGGGUACAUCUGCUUCCAUGAGGGCUUGGAUGCAUGUGGGUGGGAAGGAUCCGGCCAGCAGGGUCUAGGGUCCUCUCCGGCCACCUCCACUGCCCCUGGCUGCAGGUGACAGAUGAGGGGAGGGCCAGAGGGGACUCAGGAUCCCGGGAAGGCUGUGGCUAGAAUCCAGCAGAGGAUUGAGAAGCUAGAUUAGGAAGCAAUCAAUAGAAAUAAUGAGAAGCAGACAGAUGGGGGGAUGUUCAGAAAGCAAAAAGCAACAGAAAUGCAGGAUGGAUGAGAUGCCGUGGGCUCAAGGAUGAUCCCUGAGUUUCUGUCUCAUGUGGCCUGGUGGUUAGUGGUGCCCACCAGAGAGCAAGGGAACCCUGCAAGAGGACCAGGUAUGCAGAGGAAAAAAAACCAUCUUCUGAUCUUAGACAUGUCAAUUGUGAGUUGCCUCUGAAUACCCAAGUACAAGCACAAUGGCAAUAAUACAACCUAGAGCUCACAGAGAGGCCCAGGUCAGAGAAACAAAGUUUAGAUUCACUUAUGUCUUCCCUUCUAAAUCUCUUCUUCCCAAACUACAUUUCGUGGUGCAAAGACAUGAAGCAGUGAAAAGAACGUGGGUUUUAAAAUCAGAAAAACCAUGACUAGAAUCUCAGGCACCACCUCUUAUAGGCUGCGUUCAUGAGCAUGUUAGAAUCUGAACAGGUUUCCAUUUCCUCUACCGUCAGGAGCAUGGUGAAGAUGAAUGAACAGCACUUCCGAAGUGCCUGGAAUACAGUAAGUUCUCGACCAAGUCAAGCCAGAUCACAUUUAGACCUUCGUACAUACCCCACAGCUCCUGGUAGGGUCCUAGCCAAGCGGUCCAUCAGUAUCUAGCAGGUUGAACUGACCUGAAAUACUCUGAAAACUGCCAGGACAUCACAGUCUCCUCUGCCUAGACAACCAUCAGCUCAUAAAAUCAUUCCUGUACUCAGUAUCCUGUGGGAGCAACACCCAAACAGAAGUUAUGCAAAGAGUCUUACCCUUCAUCACCUACACACCCAGGUCUACCUCAGUCCUGGGAGGACCUAUCGCUUAGCAGGACGAUGACCAUCAAGAGCUUUGGUGGAUCACCUCAAGUCCGAGAUACCCAAUCCAGUCAAUGAGUUUGUUCUCUUAUGAUCCAUACGGCUUUAAGAGAAGCCAGGACUGGUUUCAUUUCUCCCUUAGAAUUUCUGGAGAAGCAGGAAGAUGGCACCCUUCCCACACACCCGGGAAUCACCUGGAAAUGCUGAGUGUUUCCAGAGGUUUUAUACUUUGAGCAACAGAAUCAACACUUCCUGCCAAUAUUGAGGCGACAGGAGUAUCAUCUAGAAACCAACACUCAGAUUACUGAACUCCCCCUGAAUCUGAUUCAGCUGGCCUAGGGUACUGGAUGCAUAGUUUAAUAAGUUCUCAGGUGAUGCUGUUCAGGGGCCACACCUGAGAACCACUGUCCUGGCCUCCUCCCUGGGGUCGGGCUAGUGAUGUAGCCUACACUUAAAGAAAAGUCAGCUGAGACAAGGAACUUUCUACCUGAAGCAUCCCACGAUGUCACCACAACCUGUCUUUAAUUAUGAACUACGAAUGUUUAUAACUUAGGUCAUUUUAGGUUCCAUUUUAACAGUUGUGGAAUGUUCUGCUUCAUGCUUGAUAAGUUCUACUUAUUAGUUUGCUACCACUCAUUUUUGAAUAAACAAAAAGGAAUGGCUCUCCAAAUAGAGACUCUGCUUCAUACUCAUGACACAUACUCACCUAAGCAAGCACUGUUUCCUCCUCCUGCAGGACUCAGAUGUCAUUCUCACAGAGCUACCACAGCUAGCCUAGAAGAACUAUUUUUUUUAAUAUAUAUUUUAUUUAUUUAUUCAUGAGAGACACAGAGAGAGAGAGAGAGAGUGAGGACUAGCAGGCGGGAGGGGCAGAGGGAGAAGCAGACUCGUCACUGAGCAGGGGCCGGAUGCAGGACUGGAUCCCAGGACCCUGGGAUCAUGACCUGAGCUGAAGGCAAAUGCUUAGCCUACUGAGCCACCCAGGCACCCUCACAGCAUUGUUUUUUGUUUUGUUUUGUUUUGCUUUGUUUUUGCUGCUCUUGUUUCCUUACUUGAUCAAUAAAUGUUAUGACCAAAGAUCCAGAGAUCAGGAUUCGUGGGUGUGGUUGAAAAAGGAAAAGAAAGAAGAAAGUCUGUAUUAGAUGUUGAAAACCCACUACCCAAUAUAUUGACCCUACUGGAUCACUUGUGCCAGUCUGUCAAGCUAAGAAAUAGAUUUUUCUGGCUCUAACUAUAUCUGCCUCCUAAAUCCCUUUGCUCAGCAUCCCAGGAUGCCAAGGCUUAAGUACCACCUCUUUCUUACAAAAAAAUUUUUUUACAGUUCUGUCUUUCAUCCCAUGACUUUAGUUCCAAUUCAAGGUAAUUACACUUUCCAGGCUUCCGGUACUUGCAAGUCCAACUGAAGAACCACUUGAAAAAUACACACACCGGAUUUAGUGGAGCAAUACGUCCACUCAAUGCUUUACAGUUCAUCACAAUUUUACAAGUGACUUUCUAAAACCCUUAGAGAAAACAAGUCUCAAGAACUCACACACCCAAGAACUCCCCAAAACAUACUGCACAUCUGCUGUUUAUGCAGUCCCACUAACAACACAGAGGACUUUCUAUAGGAGGAACACACACUUCAGGCAGUUGCCCAUUCAAGGACAGGUUUUAACUUAAAAAUAAUGCCCACGCACUCACCACUGAGUAAACAUGGAACCAUGUCCUAAUUAUUACCCAUAUUUGAAAUCCACAUUACCCAAGAGUAACCCAGUCUGAGUAGGGUUCUUGUGUUUUCCUAUAUCACCAUCUCCUUGAUAUAUCUCUGGUGAAACUAGAGAGAAAUAGAUAUAAUUGAUAUAUAAUAGAUAUAAUUGAGCCUCAUCUUUUAUACAGGAACAGAACCUGGCUGCACAAAGUACUUCAUCAAUGGCAGCCAGCUGUUUACACUAUUUCAAAAAUUUCAUCAUGUUUAGUUUAGAGGGUUUUUUUUUUUUUUUAAGAAAAAUAUUAAAACAGAAGGCUAGGUUUGCUCCCUCUCUGACUCACCUGACAUUUAGCAUAGCCAUAAAGAAGCCCACAAAUGAACAGAUGAGCUACAUAAUGUACAAUUCUAACUGGGCAGUUUCUUAAAGAAAAGAGUCCUUCCAACUCCAGUUAAUAUAUUCGAUACAAAGAACACAUUCCUGCAACAAAUACAUUUAGGACUUGAUGUUUUACAGUGUAGCUAAUGAAGGUUCUAGCCAUAGUAAAAAAAAA
rnacentral:lncRNA from 1 species